rnacentral:lncRNA from 1 species
UGUGCCUCCUUUGAAUUCACCUCUUCUCAUGGUAAAGGUUAGCAAGAUUGUAGCCACAGUUCUUUGGUCUCAGUACAUAUGUGAGGGCACUCCAUCAAACCCAGAGCUCAUCUAUUAUAAUGAUCUCAGUGGCCAGUUUACUCUGUGGAUCCAGAGUCUGCAGAACCAGGCUGAAAUAUGGCUUGCUCUGCCAGUCUAGCGUUAUAAUCUAGGAUUCCGGAGAUCCAUCACUCUGGGGUCAGACUCCAGGCCCUCUCGCCUAUGUGACAAGUGCCUUUCCAUAGCUAGCUGAGAAAAGGCCCUGCUUUGUGUUUUGGAUGGGGUCUCUCUUCUCUCUACUUAGCACCGGCUGUUCUGGAAAUCACUAUAGAAAGCAGACUGACUUUGAAAUCAUAGAGCUCCACCAGUCUUUGCCUCCCUAGUGGUGCUGAAAUUAAAGGCGCUCACCACCCGGUCUGGUGACAUUUUUCCUUAAAAAAAAAAAAAAGAACAAAAAAAGAAAAGAACAAAAUGGGUUGCGUUUGCCAGUUUUAAAAAGAAUUGCCU